AUACGGAGGGUGCGAGCGUUAAUCGGAAUUACUGGGCGUAAAGGGUCCGUAGGCGGUCUGCUUAGUCUGAUGUGAAAGCCCCGGGCUUAACCUGGGAAUGGCAUUGGAUACUGGCGGACUAGAGUCUGGUAGAGGGUGGUGGAAUUCCUGGUGUAGCGGUGAAAUGCGUAGAUAUCGGGAGGAACACCAGUGGCGAAGGCGGCCACCUGGACCAAGACUGACGCUGAGGGACGAAAGCGUGGGGAGCAAACAGGAUUAGAAACCCUAGUAGUCC
rnacentral:rRNA from 1 species